AGAACGAACGCUGGCGGCAUGCCUAACACAUGCAAGUCGAACGUGAUCCAGGCUUCGGCCUGGUGAAAGUGGCAGACGGGUGAGUAACGCGUGGGAACCUGCCCUGUGGUAGGGAAUAACCGUGGGAAACUGCGGCUAAUACCCUAUGAGUCCUUCGGGAGAAAGAUUUAUCGCCAUAGGAGGGGCCCGCGUCGGAUUAGGUAAUUGGUGGGGUAACGGCCUACCAAGCCUUCGAUCCGUAGCUGGUCUGAGAGGAUGAUCAGCCACACUGGGACUGAGAUACGGCCCAGACUCCUACGGGAGGCAGCAGUGGGGAAUAUUGGACAAUGGGGGCAACCCUGAUCCAGCAAUGCCGCGUGGAUGAUGAAGGCCUUCGGGUUGUAAAGUCCUUUCGGCGGGGAAGAUGAUGACGGUACCCGCGAGAAGAAGCCCCGGCUAACUCGCGCCAGCAGCCGC
rnacentral:rRNA from 1 species